rnacentral:snRNA from 1 species
AUCAAAACGAUAGUUCUGUACAA